rnacentral:rRNA from 1 species
UACGUAGGGCGCAAGCGUUGUCCGGAAUUAUUGGGCGUAAAGAGCUCGUAGGUGGCCUGUCGCGUCGGCUGUGAAAACUCGGGGCUCAACUCCGAGCUUGCAGUCGAUACGGGCAGGCUAGAGUUCGGCAGGGGAGACUGGAAUUCCUGGUGUAGCGGUGAAAUGCGCAGAUAUCAGGAGGAACACCGAUGGCGAAGGCAGUGGGCUGGGCCGGCACUGACGCUGAGGAGCGAAAGCGUGGGGAGCGAACAGG